AUCCAGGUGAAAAGUCCCAAAUAGGACGAAAUGUGAAUCCUGCAU
rnacentral:hammerhead_ribozyme from 1 species